UACGUAGGGGGGCAAGCGUUGUCCGGAAUCAUUGGGCGUAAAGAGCGUGUAGGCGGCUCGGUAAGUCCGCUGUGAAAGUCCAAGGCUCAACCCUGGAAUGCCGGUGGAAACUGUCGAGCUAGAGUCCGGAAGAGGCGAGUGGAAUUCCUGGUGUAGCGGUGAAAUGCGCAGAUAUCAGGAGGAACACCAAUGGCGAAGGCAGCUCGCUGGGACGUGACUGACGCUGAGACGCGAAAAGCGUGGGGAGCAAACAGG
rnacentral:rRNA from 1 species